rnacentral:rRNA from 1 species
GGAGAAAAGCAGGGGAUCGCAAGACCUUGCGCUUUUGGAGCGGCCGAUGCCUGAUUAGCUUGUUGGUGAGGUAAAAGCUCACCAAGGCUCCGAUCAGUAGCUGGUCUGAGAGGACGACCAGCCACACUGGGACUGAGACACGGCCCAGACUCCUACGGGAGGCAGCAGUGGGGAAUUUUGGACAAUGGGGGCAACCCUGAUCCAGCCAUGCCGCGUGAGUGAAGAAGGCCUUCGGGUUGUAAAGCUCUUUCAGCCGGAACGAAACGGUCACGGUCAAUACCCGUGACUACUGACGGUACCGGAAGAAGAAGCACCGGCUAACUACGUGCCAGCAGCCGCGGUAAUACGUAGGGUGCGAGCGUUAAUCGGAAUUACUGGGCGUAAAGCGUGCGCAGGCGGUUUUGUAAGUCAGAUGUGAAAUCCCCGGGCUUAACCUGGGAACUGCGUUUGAAACUACAAGGCUAG